AGUGAACGCUGGCGGUAGGCCUAACACAUGCAAGUCGAACGGCAGCACAGUAAGAGCUUGCUCUUACGGGUGGCGAGUGGCGGACGGGUGAGGAAUACAUCGGAAUCUACUUUUUCGUGGGGGAUAACGUAGGGAAACUUACGCUAAUACCGCAUACGACCUACGGGUGAAAGCAGGGGAUCUUCGGACCUUGCGCGAUUGAAUGAGCCGAUGUCGGAUUAGCUAGUUGGCGGGGUAAAGGUCCACCAAGGCGACGAUCCGUAGCUGGUCUGAGAGGAUGAUCAGCCACACUGGAACUGAGACACGGUCCAGACUCCUACGGGAAGCAGCAGUGGGGAAUAUUGGACAAUGGGCGCAAGCCUGAUCCAGCCAUACCGCGUGGGUGAAGAAGGCCUUCGGGUUGUAAAGCCCUUUUGUUGGGAAAGAAAAGCAGCAGGUUAAUACCCCGCUGUUCUGACGGUACCCAAAGAAUAAGCACCGGCUAACUUCGUG
rnacentral:rRNA from 1 species